rnacentral:piRNA from 1 species
UGAGAUGUCUGAUAUAAAUUUUGCUGAAUGA